CCUACGGGAGGCAGCAGCGGGGAAUAUUGGACAAUGGGGGCAACCCUGAUCCAGCCAUGCCGCGUGUGUGAAGAAGGCCCUCGGGUUGUAAAGCACUUUCAGUGAGGAAGAACGCCUGGUGGUUAAUACCCAUCAGGAAAGACAUCACUCACAGAAGAAGCACCGGCUAACUCCGUGCCAGCAGCCGCGGUAAUACGGAGGGUGCGAGCGUUAAUCGGAAUUACUGGGCGUAAAGCGCGCGUAGGUGGCUUGAUAAGCCGGUUGUGAAAGCCCCGGGCUCAACCUGGGAACGGCAUCCGGAACUGUCAAGCUAGAGUGCAGGAGAGGAAGGUAGAAUUCCCGGUGUAGCGGUGAAAUGCGUAGAGAUCGGGAGGAAUACCAGUGGCGAAGGCGGCCUUCUGGACUGACACUGACACUGAGGUGCGAAAGCGUGGGUAGCAAACAGGAUUAGAUGCCCUUGUAGCC
rnacentral:rRNA from 1 species